GUGCUCACUUUGGUAGUGCAUCUAAUAAAAACUUGGAAUGAUACAGGGAAGACUGACAUGGCCACUGCAUAAGGAUGACGUGUAUACUCAUGAAGUGUUCCAUAUUGUU
ensembl:snRNA U6 U6 spliceosomal RNA